UGGGGAAUUUUGGACAAUUGGGCGAAAGCCUGAUCCAGCAAUGCCGCGUGUGUGAAGAAGGCCUUCGGGUUGUAAAGCACUUUUGUCCGGAAAGAAAUCCUUGGCUCUAAUACAGUCGGGGGAUGACGGUACCGGAAGAAUAAGCACCGGCUAACUACGUGCCAGCAGCCGCGGUAAUACGUAGGGUGCAAGCGUUAAUCGGAAUUACUGGGCGUAAAGCGUGCGCAGGCGGUUUGCUAAGACCGAUGUGAAAUCCCCGGGCUCAACCUGGGAACUGCAUUGGUGACUGGCAGGCUAGAGUAUGGCAGAGGGGGGUAGAAUUCCACGUGUAGCAGUGAAAUGCGUAGAGAUGUGGAGGAAUACCGAUGGCGAAGGCAGCCCCCUGGGCCAAGUACUGACGCUCAUGCACGAAAGCGUGGGGAGCAAACNGGAUUAAUNCCCUGGUAGUCCACGCCCUAAANGAUGUCAACUAGUUGUUGGGGAUUCAUUUCCUUAGUAACGUAGCUAACGCGUGAAGUUGACCGCCUGGGGAGUACGGUCGCAAGAUUAAAACUCAAAUAAUUGAC
rnacentral:rRNA from 1 species